GGGAUAAGGUUUGUCCUAAUCUCUCUCUUCCCCGUUAACAUUCCGUGAGGAUUUUCUCCAGAGAAAGAGAAAUAUCGCCACAUCCAUUUGCAUCAGGAGAGAGGGGACGCACCAGUCAUUGGUUGCCUCCGCCACCGCCGGGGAGUGCAUCUACACCUGGGGUGACACGGUCAAGCGGAGCGUUGGCCGCAGGCCACCGCCUGUGGCUGUACGGCCGCAUCAUUGAUCUUGCCGCGAGGAUGAAGCGGCCGAGGGCCGGCGUGUGCUCUGCUCUGUAAGUCGCCCCGCCUUAGGACGGGCUGCCUCGUCUGGAGCGCGUCGCCGCCGCCGCCACUGCCGCAAGACAGAAAGCGCUACUGUUGCAGCGCCGUUGCUCGUGUGGGGACCUCCCGCUGUUGCCGGAGCGUCUAAUUAGACUGGAGGGCGACGCUUCGGAGGAUCGGCCAUGGCCAUAUCCUCGGCGCCGCCGAUCUGCGCGGAUGUGAGCCUUUUAUUGUUCUGAUGUUUUUGUUUGUAGUUCACGAUUGAUCAAUUCUUCGCGAGAUUCGUGUGAGCGCAUAUACAUACAGGAGAAAAACAAUUCAUUAUUAGGUUAUUAAUUGAUUGCAAGAAGACAAGAUCAGUCAAUCAAUCUCAUGAUUAGUUUCUUUCCUUUUGUACGGGGAACAUCUCGUCUUCGUCGUGAAUCGCGUGGUGGUCGAAACUCCAGUAGCCAACUUCUCCAGACUUCUCCGGUCAUCGUCUGCGGCAAUUGUAGAUCGCCGGAGUGGCCUCCGCUCUCGGUAGAGUUGCCGCGUUGGGAGGCUGGGUCAUGGUCAGAUGGCUUCUGGCCAUAGAGAGGCCUUGCCGUUUGCCACCGCUGCCGUCGGCAGUCAUGUGGCGGAUUGAAGCGCCGGAGGGCGCCGCUUCGACGCACCUACAGAGGAGGGCGUCGUCCACCAUGG
rnacentral:rRNA from 1 species